rnacentral:misc_RNA from 1 species
GAUGAAGAACGUAGCGAAAUGCGAUACUUGGUGUGAAUUGCAGAAUCCCGUGAACCAUCGAGUCUUUGAACGCAAGUUGCGCCCGAAGCCAUUAGGCCGAGGGCACGCCUGCCUGGGCGUCACACGUCGUUGCCCCCCCAUCUACUCCUUCGGGAUUGCGGGGGGCGGAUGAUGGCCUCUCGUGCGCCUCGUCGCGCGGUUGGCCUAAAUGCCAAGUCCUCGGCGACGCACGCCACGACAAUCGGUGGUUGCGAAACCUCGGUUGCCUGUCGUGUGUGGUCGUCGCGCAUCGAGGGCUCGAAAAAAUUGCCGGGCUUCGGCUCGACUUUCAACGCGACCCCAGGUCAGGCGGGGUUACCCGCUGAAUUUAAGCAUAUCAUAAGCGGAGGA